GACGAACGCUGGCGGCGUGCUUAACACAUGCAAGUCGAACGGAAAGGCCCUGCUUUUGUGGGGUGCUCGAGUGGCGAACGGGUGAGUAACACGUGAGUAACCUGCCCUUGACUUUGGGAUAACUUCAGGAAACUGGGGCUAAUACCGGAUAGGAGCUCCUGCUGCAUGGUGGGGGUUGGAAAGUUUCGGCGGUUGGGGAUGGACUCGCGGCUUAUCAGCUUGUUGGUGGGGUAGUGGCUUACCAAGGCUUUGACGGGUAGCCGGCCUGAGAGGGUGACCGGCGACAUUGGGACUGAGGUACGGCCCAGACUCCUACGGGAGGCAGCAGUGGGGAAUAUUGCACAAUGGGCGGAAGCCUGAUGAAGCAACGCCGCGUGCGGGAUGACGGCCUUCGGGUUGUAAACCGCUUUCGCCUGUGACGAAGCGUGAGUGACGGUAAUGGGUAAAGAAGCACCGGCUAACUACGUG
rnacentral:rRNA from 1 species